GAUGAACGCUGGCGGCGUGCUUAAGACAUGCAAGUCGAACGCAUCCGGGUCGCAAGACCUGGGUGAGUGGCGAAUGGGUGCGUAACACGUAGGUGACCUGCCCGGAAGUGGGGAAUAACAGUUCGAAAGGACUGCUAAUACCGCAUGUGGUGCGUGGGUUUUGAAGCUGCGUACCAAAGGUAUCCGCAAGGAUGCCGCUUUCGGAGGGGCCUGCGGCCCAUCAGCUAGUUGGUAGGGUAACGGCCUACCAAGGCGACGACGGGUAGGGGACCUGAGA
rnacentral:rRNA from 1 species